rnacentral:rRNA from 1 species
GACGAACGCUGGCGGCGUGCCUAAUACAUGCAAGUCGAACGCUGAAGGAGGAGCUUGCUCUUCUGGAUGAGUUGCGAACGGGUGAGUAACGCGUAGGUAACCUGCCUGGUAGCGGGGGAUAACUAUUGGAAACGAUAGCUAAUACCGCAUAACAGUAGAUGUUGCAUGACAUUUACUUAAAAGGUGCAAUUGCAUCACUACCAGAUGGACCUGCGUUGUAUUAGCUAGUUGGUGGGGUAACGGCUCACCAAGGCGACGAUACAUAGCCGACCUGAGAGGGUGAGCGGCCACACUGGGACUGAGACACGGCCCAGACUCCUACGGGAGGCAGCAGUAGGGAAUCUUCGGCAAUGGACGGAAGUCUGACCGAGCAACGCCGCGUGAGUGAAGAAGGUUUUCGGAUCGUAAAGCUCUGUUGUAAGAGAAGAACGAGUGUGAGAGUGGAAAGUUCACACUGUGACGGUAUCUUACCAGAAAGGGACGGCUAACUACGUG